GGGGGCUCGCGCCGGUCCGUCCCGCGGGGGCUCCGCGCCCCCCCCGCUCUGCCCGCCGGGCCGGGGGCGCAGCGCCCGCCGGCAGCGCCGGCCGCGGGGCGGGAGCGGCAAUAACAACAACAAUAACAACAAUAACAACAAUAACAACAACAACAACAACAACAGCUACAGCACCGCACACCGCAGGACACGCACCGCCGCGGCCCCCGGGGCUCCAAGGUGCCCACAGCCCUUCCCCAACGUGGCACCGCCGCCGCGGCGCUGCCAGCACUGCCCCGGACGCGCUGUCACCUCCGAGCGACUUAACGGUGCCGGCCUACCCCGCGUCCCGGCCUCGCGCCCCGGCUGUCCCGCAGUGGCAUCCGCGCCUUCCCCGGGGGUUCCCGGCCCGCCGUGGGCACCGCACCCCUCGCCCUCCCAGCCGGGAGCGCGCCCCGCCGCCCCGCACUCACAGCCGGGAGCGCGCCCUGCCGCGCUGCGCCCCGCGGAGCCGCCGCCGGGCCGGGGUCGGUCGGGCCAAAGCUAAAACUCAGAACGGCUUGACAUCAUUAGAAACGAGAGCGUUCAGUCAAUUUCUCACCCUCUGCCUGGAAAAGCAAGAAGGACCCCAAACAACAUAAACAGCAAAGAGAAAAUCAGCAGCAAGUUCACUUUGUGGAAUACAGGUCUGUUGCAAUAUCGUGUUUCACCCACUGAUUAUAGGAAACAUUCAUAACCUGGAGUCUUGCUUGUUACAAAGACAUUAAAUCUAAAAGUAUAUGACAUAAGAAAAAUGUUUUGCUUAAAAUAGAUUUCUUAUCCUUUAUAUCCCUUGUCUGCCCCAGUUCUUUGAGUCUGUUACUCUUGGGGUCAAUAUGAGUAUGUAGAGUUCACCGGAGAAACCAUAACUGGGAUUAAAGGAAUGAGUCAGAGGAAGGAAAAAGUCAAAACAGGAUCAAGAUACCUCUGCACUGGCUUGAAGCAGCUAUAUUAAAGGGACUAUGUUUACUCCAAUAAAAACUGCACGUGGCAAAAAUAUCUUGAGUGAAGAGGGUAAAUGGAGCAUUUAAAAACAAAAUACUAAUUAAAAAUACCCAUUGAGCAAUCAAUCAUUUCAUAAUGUGCUCAUGUAUGCAUGUGGUCACAUCCAGGCACUUCCAGUUCUGAAAGCCAACGUCACUGAGGAUGUCUGAAAUUAAGGAUACUUGAGUUGCCACUACAUCCUAUUGCUCUUCAUUCCUCUGCUAGCAGGAGCAUUGGGUGUUCUUUGUCAAGCUGCGCCUAGCACUUCUCUCAAAAUAAGCAGUUGUAUGCCACCUGAGAAGCUGAAACCAAUUAUUAAAGAUUACUCAUUUCUAUAAA